rnacentral:rRNA from 1 species
CCUACGGGGGGCAGCAGUGGGGGAUAUUGCACAAUGGGGGAAACCCUGAUGCAGCGACGCCGCGUGGGUGAAGAAGCGCCUCGGCGCGUAAAGCCCUGUCAGCAGGGAAGAAAAUGACGGUACCUGAAGAAGAAGCCCCGGCUAAGUACGUGCCAGCAGCCGCGGUAAUACGUAGGGGGCAAGCGUUAUCCGGAUUUACUGGUUGUAAAGGGGGCGCAGACGGCGAGGCAAGCCAGGAGUGAAAGCCCGGGGCCCAACCCCGGGACUGCUCUUGGAACUGGCUGGCUAGAGUGCAGGAGGGGCAGGCGGAAUUCCUGGGGUAGCGGUGAAAUGCGUAGAUAUCAGGAGGAACACCGGUGGCGAAGGCGGCCUGCUGGACUGCAACUGACGUUGAGGCCCGAAAGCGUGGGGAGCAAACAGGAUUAGAUACCCGUGUAGUC